rnacentral:rRNA from 1 species
GUGCCAGCCGCAGCGGUAAUACGGAGGGUGCAAGCGUUAAUCGGAAUUACUGGGCGUAAAGCGCACGCAGGCGGUCUGACAAGUCGGAUGUGAAAUCCCCGGGCUCAACCCGGGAACUGCAUUCGAAACUGUCAGGCUGGAGUCUUGUAGAGGGGGGUAGAAUUCCAGGUGUAGCGGUGAAAUGCGUAGAGAUCUGGAGGAAUACCGGUGGCGAAGGCGGCCCCCUGGACAAAGACUGACGCUCAGGUGCGAAAGCGUGGGGAGCAAACAGGAUUAGAUACCCUGGUAGUCCACGCCGUAAACGAUGUCUAUUUGGAGGUUGUGCCCUUGAGGCGUGGCUUCCGGAGCUAACGCGUUAAAUAGACCGCCUGGGGAGUACGGCCGCAAGGUUAAAACUCAAAUGAAUUGACGGGGGCCCGCACAAGCGGUGGAGCAUGUGGUUUAAUUCGAUGCAACGCGAAGAACCUUACCUGGUCUUGACAUCCACAGAAGUUUUCAGAGAUGAGAAUGUGCCUUCGGGAACUGUGAGACAGGUG